ensembl:lncRNA
AAAUAAGAUAUUUAUUCCACUUUCCAGAAACUUAUGGCCAGACAAUGAAAAGAGAUCCAUACCCAUUUAUGAUAAUCAGCUAUAUGAACUUUAAUAGAAGCAUCAGCUGUGAAAUUAGAAGGAGGGAGAAAUGGUUUGUCUUUACCGAAGAUUCUCUCAUAUGGCUCACAAAUAUUUAUCAGAACUAUACUUGCUGUGGCCUGGAAGUACAGACCAUAAGAAGAUACCAAAUGACCCUGACAUCAGGGAACUGGGGUUAGAAUAAACAUUUUACUACUGUUUCAUUACAGGCAGCCAAUGUUUUGGUGUUGUCCCUUUGCUUCAGUGAUGGAUGACAUCCAGUAUCCUUACCGUGUUCUGCUGUGGUCCUCUGAUCUCGCCCCGCCUGCCUCACCAGCCUUUGCAGACGAAUUCCAGAGAUGUUGUUACAUGGGGUCAAACCCAUUUGUAUUCAGGCCCCCUGCUCUUACUCCUUCGAGCACCUUUCCACUUGUGUAAAGGUUCGGUGGCUGUCUUCCCUACCAGGAGGUAAGCAUCAAGAGAGCAGGUACCUGUCCAUCUGUUUCACAAUUAUGCCCUUAUCGCCAGUCAUGGUGCUUCAAAUUGAUUCUCAGCAGAGUUGGAAGGAAAAAGAACUGGUUUCAAGCCUGCCCCCUACUAUUCACCGGCUUUGUGACCUUUGGUGUUUCACAGUUCGGAGCCUCGAUUGCUGAUCUGUAGCACAGGAACAGUGGUGACUGUGGCACUUUGUCUGUGUGAGGCACUACGCUUUACUGCUCUCAUCUCCUCCAUUAAUCCCGAAUCGGGAGAGGUGAACUGACUUGCUUGAGGUCACACAGUUCGUAAGUUCAGUUCAGUUCAGUUCAGUCGCUCAGUCGUGUCCGACUCUUUGCGACCCCAUGCAUCGCAGCACGCCAGGCCUCCCUGUCCAUCACCAACUCCCCGAGUUCACUAAGAGUCGCGUCCAUCGAGUCAGUGAUGCCACCCAGCCAUCUCAUCCUCUGUCGUCCCCUUCUCCUCCUGCCCCCAAUCCCUCCCAGCAUCAGAGUCUUUUCCAAUGAGUCAACUCUUCGUAUGAGGUGGCCAAAGUACUGAAGUUUGAGCUUUAGCAUCAUUCCUUCCAAAGAAAUCCCCGGGUUGAUUUCCUUUAGAAUGGACUGGUUGGAUCUCCUUGCAGUCCAAGGGACUCUCAAGAGUCUUCUCCAACACCACAGUUCAAAAGCAUCAAUUCUUCGGUGCUCAGCCUUCUUCACAGUCCAACUCUCGCAUCCAUACAUGACUACUGGAAAAACCAUAGCCUUGACUAGACGGACCUUAGUUGGCAAAGUAAUGUGUCUCUGCUUUUGAAUAUGCUAUCUAGGUUGGUCAUAACUUUUCUUCCAAGGAGCAAGCAUCUUUUAAUUUCAUGGCUGCAAUCACCAUCUGCAGUGAGAAAACCGGAUUUAAAUCCUGGUCUGAUUCCUAAAAUUGAUUGCUCUUCUCCAUACCUGUGACUGUCCUAGGAGUAAUUCCAGGAGGUAGGAGCCCUAGAUACUGAGUAGCUGGGAUGCUGAACAUCAAUGAGGAAGCCAGCUGGAAUGCUUUUACACCAGUUUAGGGAAUCAGUAGUGGGAUUAGCUCUAUUUGGAUGAAGAGGUGGUGACUUCUGAACUGAGCCCCAAAGAAGCUAGCUGGAUACAGAAGCAGGCCUGCAGCGUGAACGCUCUGAGGCCGUUUCUGGGGCCGAAGAGUGAAUAGCCUUGCAAGCUGGCCGGGGAGUGGCUUUCUGUAAAAUGCUAUAGGGAGACUUCACUGGGUUUAAAAUGCUGUAGGGAGACUUCACUGGGUUUUCCUAAUUAACCACAGUUUGGAAGCAGGAAGUCUCAGUUUGGAGUCCUUUUGAGGGCAAAAGUGUUCGAAGCCCUCUCACUUUGGAUCUCUGUAGCAAAGAUACAUUUUAGCUGAUUCUUUCAUUCCACUGUAGUGCCCAGUGCAACAGUGUUUGAAAAGGGAAAGGGACAGACGUUUAUGUUCAGUUGUUUGAUAUCAUACUGUUGUUGUUUUUUAUGUUGUUGUUGUUUUUUUUUUUUUGUAAGAGUAG